rnacentral:rRNA from 1 species
UACGUGCCAGCAGCCGCGGUAAUACGUAGGUCCCGAGCGUUAUCCGGAUUUAUUGGGCGUAAAGCGAGCGCAGGCGGUUAGAUAAGUCUGAAGUUAAAGGCUGUGGCUUAACCAUAGUACGCUUUGGAAACUGUUUAACUUGAGUGCAGAAGGGGAGAGUGGAAUUCCAUGUGUAGCGGUGAAAUGCGUAGAUAUAUGGAAGAACACCAGUGGCGAAAGCGGCUCUCUGGUCUGUAACUGACGCUGAGGUUCGAAAGCGUGGGUAGCAAACAGGAUUAGAUACCCUGG